rnacentral:lncRNA from 1 species
AGAGGAUACUGGAAGGAGUUUGCCAUGUAGAAAGAGACUCCAUGCGAUGAUGACAUUGUAGUAGAGAGCCACAAGAAACACACCUGGGAAGAAGACGGGGUUAAUACAGUAUUUAAACUAGCUGCCCUGAGGAAGGAAGACAGGUUUAAUACAGUAUUUAACAUGCUAGCUGCACCUGAGGAAGGAAGACAGGGUUAAUUCAGUAUUUAACAUGCUAGCUGCACCUGAGGAGGAAGACAAGGGGGUAAUACAGUAUUUACAUGCUAGCCACCUGUAGGACUUCCAGUCAUUGCAA